CCCCAGUCUAUCAUGCACAUACCAUGUUAGUGACAAUAAAACCAGCUCCUCUCCCAGCAUUAAGUCUCGACUAAGUUAUGGGGGGAGGCUAUAAUACUGCUAUACACCACAGCUAUUGUACUGAGCUAUAAUCACUGGUUACUGUGCUGAAUGGGAUACUUUGGAAGGGAAAGGGGAGCCUUGGCAGUGACACUCGGAUCCCCUAACGAGUGGUCCGCCACAAG